rnacentral:rRNA from 1 species
AUUGAACGCUGGCGGCAUGCCUUACACAUGCAAGUCGAACGGCAGCACGGGUGCUUGCCCCUGGUGGCGAGUGGCGAACGGGUGAGUAAUACAUCGGAACAUGUCCUGUAGUGGGGGAUAGCCCGGCGAAAGCCGGAUUAAUACCGCAUACGAUCUACGGAUGAAAGCGGGGGACCUUCGGGCCUCGCGCUAUAGGGUUGGCCGAUGGCUGAUUAGCUAGUUGGUGGGGUAAAGGCCUACCAAGGCGACGAUCAGUAGCUGGUCUGAGAGGACGACCAGCCACACUGGGACUGAGACACGGCCCAGACUCCUACGGGAGACAGCAGUGGGGAAUUUUGGACAAUGGGCGAAAGCCUGAUCCAGCAAUGCCGCGUGUGUGAAGAAGGCCUUCGGGUUGUAAAGCACUUUUGUCCGGAAAGAAAUCCUUGGCCCUAAUACGGUCGGGGGAUGACGGUACCGGAAGAAUAAGCACCGGCUAACUACGUG